rnacentral:misc_RNA from 1 species
AACGCACGAGACCUGCGGACCUGCGGAAGGAUCAUUAAAAAAGACCCAUUUUUAAAAACCUACUACCAAUUCUUACCCAUCGGGUCAGAUGGAAGUGGGUUUUUUUUCAAACUCCAAAAUUUUUAACUAUUCGUCUUGAUGACGAAAUUCAAAUUAAUAAAUAAAACUUUUAACAAUGGAUCUCU